UACGUAGGGGGCUAGCGUUAUCCGGAAUUACUGGGCGUAAAGGGUGCGUAGGUGGUUUCUUAAGUCAGAGGUGAAAGGCUACGGCUCAACCGUAGUAAGCCUUUGAAACUGGGAAACUUGAGUGCAGGAGAGGAGAGUGGAAUUCCUAGUGUAGCGGUGAAAUGCGUAGAUAUUAGGAGGAACACCAGUUGCGAAGGCGGUUCUCUGGACUGUAACUGACACUGAGGCACGAAAGCGUGGGGAGCAAACAGGAUUAGAUACCCUGGUAGUCCACGCCGUAAACGAUGAGUACUAGCUGUCGGAGGUUACCCCCUUCGGUGGCGCAGCUAACGCAUUAAGUACUCCGCCUGGGAAGUACGCUCGCAAGAGUGAA
rnacentral:rRNA from 1 species